CCAGUCCUAUUCAACAAUUUCGAGCAAUAUGGCGUGCGAGAAACGUCAUUCGCGUCACUGUUUACUUUUUACAUUUUAGCUUAGGAAAUCGGUUUUUGAAUCUAUUAAAAUGAUUUGUGCGCGACAGUGGAACGAGGGAACUUACAGAACAUGCAAAAAGUCGUAGCAAAGAUUUAAAGCCGGAAAUUUUAAUUUAGAAGAUCGUUCAGAUGCACUAAGAAAGUUCGACGACGAUGAGUUGGAAGAAUUGUUCGACGAAAAUCCGAUCUAUGAGAAGAAUUGACAGAAAGAUUAAGAGUCACGAGACGAGCGAUUUCAUCUAUCCAACUGAAAUAAUCGGGUAAUCUUGUACCUGAUUUACGUAAUAAAAUUUUGAAUUUUCUUUUGGAAGAAAGAAGGGGAAAGAAUUUAUUCGCAUAUCUAAUAAUAUUAUCCUUUUUUAAUCCUUCGAAGAGAAGAUACGAGCGAAAAUAUAUUCGAUCAAAAAUGCAACAAAUCUCACUAGAGUGAAAAUAAGAAAAUAUAUAAAAUAUAAAAAAUAUAUAAAAAUUGUUGAAAUUCGUUGCAAGAAAUAAAAGAAAGGAUUAAUAGUACAUUUGUUGAAAGCAAGAUAAAUUUUCUCAAGAUGUUAAGCUUGCAACAACAUUUUGAAAUGGAAACAUAAACUUCUUUUCAAUAAUAUGCAGUUUCAUCGUUUAACCUUUUGCACACGAAUGGUGUCUCUCGGCCAUUUGGAUUCGAAUAGCUUCUCCAAACUCUUUAUGUACAAUCAUACGAAGCGUAGAGUAAUAUAAUGUCGACAGGUAAAUUUUCUUAUCUUAAAUUGGAUCGCGGAUCGAAUUACAUUUUCAACGUUAAUCCGAGUUUGACAGUAAGUGGUGAUAAGAACAUUAUUUUCAAUUGUUUUUCGAGCAAAGACAAGUUUCAUAUUUUGUAUAAGAAAUCAAAAUAAAAAUAAUUAAACGAUGAACAUUACGUUAAGAAGGAUUAUAAGGUUAAUGAUAAAUCGAAGACGCAUCUUGCCCGAUCGCUUCACGCAAUAUAUGUAGAGUUUAAUACUCGACAAAUUCUUCUCUAUACGUAAAGAUACCUUUAUUACGCGCAUGCGCGAAAUCGUUUUGAGGUUAGCCGUAAGAAGUUCAUCGAAACGUGUGGAACGAUUGUCUCGAGCUUUAAUAUAAUAUAUGACGGGGACAAGAAUUUCUAAUCGUGUCUUCCAAGCAAUGGAAAGGAAGAAUAGAAGAGUAAGAAAAAUACAGUAAAAUAUAAGCUCAAAGAAGUCCUCGAUAAUUACGAUCAAAGACAGUAGUAAUAACCAGUUAUCUCUAGGAAAAAAAGAAGAGGCAGCAAUUCGUUUCCAAAAAGCAAGGAAUAACCGUAACAGUAAAUCGAAGAGACGGAUUAGAAGAAGACACAAAAGGGACGAAGAUUUCGUUUCGUUUCUCUCCUCGAAUCGAGAUCCCUGGCGGCGAUUUGGCGGAAGCGGAUCAACCAGCAGUUUUCUUUCGAGCUCUCGUUUCAUCCGGUCGUUCAACCGGCCGACCGAGAUUGAGGACGGGGGAAGAGCCAUUUGCGUGAUCGGUUCGCUCGAGAUAACGAGGGGAAACGGUCAUGCAAAUGCGAUCGAAAUGGAAACUCGGCCGAAACACAGCCGCUUUAUCGCGACUUUAAUUCGGCCGUAAUUGGUACACGCCGCGCGAUGAUGGGCAACCGGUUAGUCGAUUCAUCGACUGGAAAUCGCGAUGGAAUCACCACCGAAUUCUCGCUGGUGGCGGGAGUUAUCGCGGGGUUGUUCUCGAUGUUGCGCAAUUAUCGGUGGAAGGGAUGGAACGGAUGGAUGGAAGUUGGAUCCUGGAUUCCUGGCUCGGGACGGAAAUUCGUAUCGGGAAAUAUUUUUAUUAUCUAUGAAAGAUUUAUGGAUAUAUAUUUGUUACGUUAUCUUAAUGAAAGGUAGCAUCCAUCGUUCUGUUCCAAUGGAAAAGGUAUCCUUUUCGAGUGUUGAUUUUUUUCUUACAGAGUAAAUGUUCUUGAAUUGCAUUUUUUAAGUUUGUCAAAAAGGUGAGAAUCGAUCGAUGAAGGAGAAUUUCAUAACCUUCAAAAGUUUUUGUGCAGUAAUUUAAAAGGAAAAAAUAUGAAUUGUAAAAUUCAUUAGAAUCUUUUUUUUUUUUUGCAGAAAUACAAGCUUUCCAAAGACACCAAUGGAAGAAUAGCAAAGCAAUUCGAACGUUGAAUGAACGCAAAUCCAUUACCAAACCUUUUCUCGUCGUAUGUCUGACUUUCUCUAUUAACCUUUUGGCUCAUAGAAAUCCAUCGUCUUAUAACAAAGUGCACUUAAAUCGAGGAUUUAAAGUUUUAAAAUAAUAUAUUGGAAUACUAGUAAUAAUUUGUAAGUAAUUGUAGUAAUAAAAUCGAUGAGAGAAUUCAUAACCUAAAAGAAUACGAAUUAUAAAAUUCAUUAGAACGCA